UGUGACGUUACCAAACUGUUGCCUCGGCGGGAUCUCUGCCCCGGGUGCGUCGCAGCCCCGGACCAAGGCGCCCGCCGGAGGACCAACCUAAAACUCUUAUUGUAUACCCCCUCGCGGGUUUUUUUUAUAAUCUGAGCCUUCUCGGCGCCUCUCGUAGGCGUUUCGAAAAUGAAUCAAAACUUUCAACAACGGAUCUCUUGGUUCUGGCAUCGAUGAAGAACGCAGCGAAAUGCGAUAAGUAAUGUGAAUUGCAGAAUUCAGUGAAUCAUCGAAUCUUUGAACGCACAUUGCGCCCGCCAGUAUUCUGGCGGGCAUGCCUGUCCGAGCGUCAUUUCAACCCUCGAACCCCUCCGGGGGGUCGGCGUUGGGGAUCGGCCCUCCCUUAGCGGGUGGCCGUCUCCGAAAUACAGUGGCGGUCUCGCCGCAGCCUCUCCUGCGCAGUAGUUUGCACACUCGCAUCGGGAGCGCGGCGCGUCCACAGCCGUUAAACACCCAACUUCUGAAAUGUUGACCUCGGAUCAGGUAGGAAUACCCGCUGAACUUAAGCAUAU
rnacentral:rRNA from 1 species